CGCUGAGGCUGCAGAACGGCGGUGAGAAUCCUGCCUGAGCCGAGCGCGGGAGUGUAUCCCGGUACUCCCCACGGAUGGAGAGCCCCCGGCCCCUCUGCUCUUCAGGAUAUUCAAGGAGGAAGCCCAAAUAGCAAUCUUGGGGAAGGAAAUGAUCUAGGGGCUGAAGAAGAACGCUCCAGCAUCACCACACCACAUGUGGGGGGCUCUUGAGAACUGUCACCUGGAUCUACAGCCCACGCCUAUAACUUAUCAAGACAGAUGUCCCGACUGUCCCAUGACAAGCAAGAUGGUGCUGAGAUUAGCAAGUCGGCGGCCCCAUGAACACCGCAGGUCCACUGUGGAUGGAAAGAGUACCCACACCGCCAAGAGGAAGGGCAAGUCUAACUCCAAGUCAAGUGCAUGCGUGUGGAAGUGGAUCCUCCAGCUCAGUCAAGCCUCAGAUCAGGGCAGCCCCGGCUGACACCUCGGUUGUAGCCGCGUGAGAGAACCAGAACUGCCCAGCUAAGCCACCCCUGGAUUCCUGAGCCUCAGAAAGCGGAGAUAAUAAACAUCUGUUGUUUUAAGCCCCUGCGUCCGGGGUAAGUCGUUAGGCAGUGAUGGAGAAGUGACACCCCCUCACGUACAUCCAGGAACGAGGAGUUGACGACCAGGUUGCAGGUGCCAAGACAACAAGGGACCACAUGGACUGUGCAUUUGAAAAUGUCACUCACAUGGGAUUAGCUCUUUUCUCUU